GAGAGGAUAGCGUACUUUCAAAUUGUCUUGAUUUGUAGCACUCUGCUCCACAUCGAUGGUGCUUCGAUAAUAGACAGUUUAAAGCUUCGCCUGUUUCAAGCUCUCUCAAAGGCUGGCUUUGCUGUCAAAGCGGCUUCCAUGACGGGCGAGAAUAUUGGCGAAGCAAUGAAGAACCUGAGCAAUGUGCCCCUUGGCAUUGGAAUGAUGAUCAACGCUCUGUUCGCGAGUGGAGCUACGGAAGAGAAGCCCCCAGAUGAUGAUCCAGACUGCGAAAAGGGAGGACUACCGUGUAAAGUCAUGUCUAUUUUUGGCUAAAAUUAAUGCUUCAAUGAAUGUAAAAUAUCUUAAACGGAAGGAUUAAGUUGCUCUAUAUUGAAAUGCAAA